rnacentral:rRNA from 1 species
CAAAGAUUAAGCCAUGCAUGUCUAAGUUUAAACGAUUAAUCGUGAAACCGCGAACGGCUCAUUACAACAGCUAUGAUUUACUUGAUCUUGACCUAUACUACAUGGAUAACUGUGGUAAUUCUAGAGCUAAUACAUGCACCUAAGCUCUUACCUUACGGAAAGAGUGCAUUUAUUAGAACAAAACCAGGCGGCUUGCCGUGUUUUGUUGACUCAAAAUAACUCAGCUGAUCGCAUGGUCUUGUACCGGCGAUGUGUCAUUCAAGUAUCUGCCUUAUCAACUUUCGACGGUAGUGUAUUGGACUACCGUGGUGGUGACGGGUAACGGAGGAUAAGGGUUUGACUCCGGAGAAGGGGCCUGAGAAAUGGCCACUACGUCUAAGGAUGGCAGCAGGCGCGCAAAUUACCCACUCUCAGAAUGAGGAGGUAGUGACGAGAAAUAACGAGACCGUUCUUUUUAAGGCCGGUCAUCGGAAUGGGUACAAUUUAAACCCUUUGACGAGUAUCUAUGAGAGGGCAAGUCUGGUGCCAGCAGCCGCGGUAAUUCCAGCUCUCAAAAUGCAUAGACUUAUUGCUGCGGUUAAAAAGCUCGUAGUUGGAUUUGUGACAGAGAUGCGGUCCACCUACGGGUGUGCACUGUACUCUUUGGCUUAUCUGUUGGUCUUCCCCUCGUGGCUUUAAUCGGCUGCGGGGGGUGGCUGGCAAUUUUACUUUGAACAAAUCAGAGUGCUCAAAACAAGCGUUUCGCUUGAAUGCUUUUGCAUGGAAUAAUAGAAGAGGAUUUCGGUCUACUUUUAUUGGUUUUACUGACUGAAAUAAUGGUUAACAGAGACAAACGGGGGCAUUUGUAUCGUUGCGUGAGAGGUGAAAUUCUUGGACCGCAGCGAGACAAUCUAAAGCGAAAGCAUUUGCCAAGAAUGUCUUCAUUAAUCAAGAACGAAAGUCAGAGGUUCGAAGGCGAUCAGAUACCGCCCUAGUUCUGACCGUAAACAAUGCCAACUAGCGAUCUGCCGGCGGAAUUCUGCCUUGGCAGGGAGCUUCCCGGAAACGAAAGUCUUCCGGUUCCGGGGGAAGUAUGGUUGCAAAGCUGAAACUUAAAGGAAUUGACGGAAGGGCACCACCAGGAGUGGAGCCUGCGGCUUAAUUUGACUCAACACGGGAAAACUCACCCGGCCCGGACACUAUAAGGAUUGACAGAUUGAUAGCUUUUUCAUGAUUUGGUGGAUGGUGGUGCAUGGCCGUUCUUAGUUCGUGGAGCGAUUUGUCUGGUUUAUUCCGAUAACGAGCGAGACUCUAGCCUAUUAACUAGUCUGCACAUUGCUUGUUUGUUGCAGUACUUCUUAGAGGGAUUUUCGGUGUACAGCCGCACGAGAUUGAGCAAUAACAGGUCUGUGAUGCCCUUAGAUGUCCGGGGCUGCACGCGCGCUACACUGGUAAAGUCAGCGUGCUUGUCCUUUCCUGAAAGGGAUUGGUAAACCAAUCAAAUUUUGCCGUGAUUGGGAUCGGAAAUUGCAAUUAUUUUCCGUAAACGAGGAAUUCCAAGUAAAUGCGAGUCAUUAACUCGCGUUGAUUACGUCCCUGCCCUUUGUACACACCGCCCGUCGCUGCCCGGGACUGAGCCAUUUCGAGAAAUUUGGGGAUUGCUGGUUGGUUGUCUUUCGGGAUGACCUUCUGGUGAGAACCAACUUAAUCGCAGUGGCUUGAACCGGGCAAAAGUCGUAACAAGGUAGCUGUAGGUGAACCUG